UUAAGUGAAUAAGGGCGCACGGUGGAUGCCUUGGCACUAGGAGCCGAUGAAGGACGGGACUAACACCGAUAUGCUUUGGGGAGCUGUAAGUAAGCUAUGAUCCAGAGAUUUCCGAAUGGGGGAACCCAAUAUCUUUUAUAGGAUAUUACUUUUCAGUGAAUACAUAGCUGAUUAGAGGUAGACGCAGAGAACUGAAACAUCUUAGUACCUGCAGGAAGAGAAAGAAAAUUCGAUUCCCUGAGUAGCGGCGAGCGAAACGGGAAGAGCCCAAACCAACAAGCUUGCUUGUUGGGGUUGUAGGACUCCAAUAUGGUAGUCUGUUAGUAUAGUUGAAGGAUUUGGAAAAUUCCGCUAAAGAGGGUGAAAGCCCCGUAGACGAAAUGCUGACAACACCUAGGAGGAUCCUGAGUACGGCGGAACACGAGAAAUUCCGUCGGAAUCCGCGGGGACCAUCCCGCAAGGCUAAAUACUCCCUAGUGACCGAUAGUGAACCAGUACCGUGAGGGAAAGGUGAAAAGCACCCCGGAAGGGGAGUGAAAUAGAUCCUGAAACCGUGUGCCUACAACAAGUCAAAGCUCGUUAAUGAGUGAUGGCGUGCCUUUUGUAGAAUGAACCGGCGAGUUACGAUUGCAUGCGAGGUUAAGUCGAAGAGACGGAGCCGCAGCGAAAGCGAGUCUGAAUAGGGCGAAUGAGUAUGUAGUCGUAGACCCGAAACCAUGUGAUCUACCCAUGUCCAGGUUGAAGGUGCGGUAAAACGCACUGGAGGACCGAACCCACGUACGUUGAAAAGUGCGGGGAUGAGGUGUGGGUAGCGGAGAAAUUCCAAACGAACUUGGAGAUAGCUGGUUCUCUCCGAAAUAGCUUUAGGGCUAGCCUCGGAAUUGAGAAUGAUGGAGGUAGAGCACUGUUUGGACUAGGGGCCCAUCUCGGGUUACCGAAUUCAGAUAAACUCCGAAUGCCAUUCAUUUAUAUCCGGGAGUCAGACUGCGAGUGAUAAGAUCCGUAGUCGAAAGGGAAACAGCCCAGACCACCAGCUAAGGUCCCAAAAUAUAUGUUAAGUGGAAAAGGAUGUGGGGUUGCACAGACAACUAGGAUGUUGGCUUAGAAGCAGCCACCAUUUAAAGAGUGCGUAAUAGCUCACUAGUCGAGUGACCCUGCGCCGAAAAUGUACCGGGGCUAAACAUAUUACCGAAGCUGUGGACUACACCAUUAGGUGUAGUGGUAGGAGAGCGUUCUAAGGGCGUUGAAGGUCGAUCGUGAGGACGGCUGGAGCGCUUAGAAGUGAGAAUGCCGGUAUGAGUAGCGAAAGACAGGUGAGAAUCCUGUCCACCGUAUGACUAAGGUUUCCUGGGGAAGGCUCGUCCGCCCAGGGUUAGUCGGGACCUAAGCCGAGGCCGAUAGGCGUAGGCGAUGGACAACAGGUUGAUAUUCCUGUACCAGUUGUUUUUGUUUGAGCAAUGGAGGGACGCAGUAGGCUAAGGAAUGCAUGCGAUUGGAAGUGCAUGUCCAAGCAAUGAGUCUUGAGUAGAGUUAAAUGCUUUACUCUUUAAGGACAAGUUGUGACGGGGAGCGAAAUAAUAGUAGCGAAGUUCCUGAUGUCACACUGCCAAGAAAAGCUUCUAGUGAGAAAACAACUGCCCGUACCGUAAACCGACACAGGUAGUCGAGGAGAGUAUCCUAAGGUGAGCGAGCGAACUCUCGUUAAGGAACUCGGCAAAAUGACCCCGUAACUUCGGGAGAAGGGGUGCUGACUUCGGUCAGCCGCAGUGAAUAGGCCCAAGCGACUGUUUAUCAAAAACACAGGUCUCUGCAAAAUCGUAAGAUGAAGUAUAGGGGCUGACGCCUGCCCGGUGCUGGAAGGUUAAGAGGAUGGGUUAGCUUCGGCGAAGCUCAGAAUUGAAGCCCCAGUAAACGGCGGCCGUAACUAUAACGGUCCUAAGGUAGCGAAAUUCCUUGUCGGGUAAGUUCCGACCCGCACGAAAGGCGUAACGAUUUGGGCACUGUCUCAACGAGAGACUCGGUGAAAUUUUAGUACCUGUGAAGAUGCAGGUUACCCGCGACAGGACGGAAAGACCCCAUGGAGCUUUACUGUAGUUUGAUAUUGAGUGUUUGUACCACAUGUACAGGAUAGGUAGGAGCCGAUGAGACCGGAACGCUAGUUUCGGAGGAGGCGCUGGUGGGAUACUACCCUUGUGUUAUGAACCCUCUAACCCGCACCACUAAUCGUGGUGGGAGACAGUGUCAGAUGGGCAGUUUGACUGGGGCGGUCGCCUCCUAAAAGGUAACGGAGGCGCCCAAAGGUUCCCUCAGAAUGGUUGGAAAUCAUUCGAAGAGUGUAAAGGCAGAAGGGAGCUUGACUGCGAGACCUACAAGUCGAGCAGGGACGAAAGUCGGGCUUAGUGAUCCGGUGGUUCCGCAUGGAAGGGCCAUCGCUCAACGGAUAAAAGCUACCC
rnacentral:rRNA from 1 species